rnacentral:lncRNA from 1 species
ACGAAUAGUCCUUAGUCUUGCCGGCUCUAUUUAGAAUAGAGCCAGCAUGAAUAGUCCUCAGGAUUAUUCGUGCCGGCUCACGUGCGAAAUCGGAAAUUCAAAAACUCGCAACUUUUACAUAUGAAUUCGGAUGGAGAGAAACUUUAUAUGAAAAAUUUAUGUUUCGACGGGAUCUAAAACUUUGUAGUUAAAAGUUUUUUAUUUGAAGUCAUUAGAUGUCUAAAAUUGUAAUGUUAACAUGUCUUUUUUGUCCUUGUAAUUUGAAGUUCAUGUUUUAUUUAAAAAUUCGUAAAUUUUUUAUAUGGACUCGCUUGAAGACAAAUUUUACAUGAAAGUUGUGGGUUCCAACGUGACCUUCAAUUUUGUAGUUGUAGGUUUUUAAAUUUGAAGUCAUUUAUCAUUCAACUCUAUUUCCCGCCCUUCUUUCCCGCUGUUUUCUAAUUUGAACUUUAGGAUGUCUACGGAAAAUUCAUAAUUUUUGCACAUGUUCUCUGAUCGAGAUAAACUUUAUACAAAAAUUGUACAUUUUGACGAGAUCUACAACUAACUAUGUAGUUGAUAGUUUUUUAUUUAAAGUCAUUUAAACGCCAAAAUAAUAAACUAGAAAAUUGCAAUUGGUUAAGUCCUCAAAUUACAAAAUAAUAACUCAGUUACAACUACACAAUGAAGUCAGGCACACAUCACCACAAUUGGCAUUGGGCACUAAUCUACUUACAACUGGAGCUGUUAACUGAUAUAUCCUCACCCACACACAUUCGGUGACCUAUCGUUCUAAUGCACCCACACCCAACCAGUUGUAGCUAGAGCAUCAUAACACUUGCACAAUCAGGACAAUUAAACUACCCAUGGCACAUCACCGCCACACGUAAUCAAAAUUUAUCAAGACCUCACGUCAGUUGGAACUAGUAGCUACGAUGCGUCCUAAUUCAAAAGUCGAAA